CACUACGGUAAGGGAGAACGUGCGCCUUGUCGUCUCGACAGUGGAGGACGGUCUGAGUAUGUCUGGGAAACUGCCCGAUGGAGGGGGAUAACUACUGGAAACGGUAGCUAAUACCGCAUAACGUCGCAAGACCAAAGAGGGGGACCUUCGGGCCUCUUGCCAUCGGAUGUGCCCAGAUGGGAUUAGCUAGUAGGUGGGGUAACGGCUCACCUAGGCGACGAUCCCUAGCUGGUCUGAGAGGAUGACCAGCCACACUGGAACUGAGACACGGUCCAGACUCCUACGGGAGGCAGCAGUGGGGAAUAUUGCACAAUGGGCGCAAGCCUGAUGCAGCCAUGCCGCGUGUAUGAAGAAGGCCUUCGGGUUGUAAAGUACUUUCAGCGAGGAGGAAGGUGUUGUGGUUAAUAACCGCAGCAAUUGACGUUACUCGCAGAAGAAGCACCGGCUAACUCCGUGCCAGCAGCCGCGGUAAUACGGAGGGUGCAAGCGUUAAUCGGAAUUACUGGGCGUAAAGCGCACGCAGGCGGUCUGUCAAGUCGGAUGUGAAAUCCCCGGGCUCAACCUGGGAACUGCAUCCGAAACUGGCAGGCUAGAGUCUUGUAGAGGGGGGUAGAAUUCCGGUGUACGGGAAAUGCGUAAAGAUCUGGAGGA
rnacentral:rRNA from 1 species